GGAUAACCUUGCGAAAGUAAGACUAAUACCCAAUGACGUCUCUAGAAGACAUCUGAAAGAGAUUAAAGAUUUAUCGGUGAUGGAUGGGGAUGCGUCUGAUUAGCUUGUUGGCGGGGUAACGGCCCACCAAGGCGACGAUCAGUAGGGGUUCUGAGAGGAAGGUCCCCCACAUUGGAACUGAGACACGGUCCAAACUCCUACGGGAGGCAGCAGUGAGGAAUAUUGGUCAAUGGACGAGAGUCUGAACCAGCCAAGUAGCGUGCAGGAUGACGGCCCUAUGGGUUGUAAACUGCUUUUAUAAGGGAAUAAAGUGAGUCUCGUGAGACUUUUUGCAUGUACCUUAUGAAUAAGGACCGGCUAAUUCCGUGCCAGCAGCCGCGGUAAUACGGAAGGUCCGGGCGUUAUCCGGAUUUAUUGGGUUUAAAGGGAGCGUAGGCCGGAGAUUAAGCGUGUUGUGAAAUGUAGAUGCUCAACAUCUGCACUGCAGCGCGAACUGGUUUCCUUGAGUACGCACAAAGUGGGCGGAAUUCGUGGUGUAGCGGUGAAAUGCUUAGAUAUCACGAAGAACUCCGAUUGCGAAGGCAGCUCACUGGAGCGCAACUGACGCUGAAGCUCGAAAGUGCGGGUAUCGAACAGGAUUAGAUACCCUGGUAGUCCGCACGGUAAACGAUGGAUGCCCGCUGUUGGUCUGAAUAGGUCAGCGGCCAAGCGAAAGCAUUAAGCAUCCCACCUGGGGA
rnacentral:rRNA from 1 species